UCAGGACGAACGCUGGCGGGCGUGCCUAAUACAUGCAAGUCGAACGGUCUUUCUAUGGAAGCUUGCUUCCACUGAGAAGAUAGUGGCGAACGGGUGAGUAACACGUGGGUAACCUGCCCAUAAGAGGGGGAUAACAUCCGGAAACGGGUGCUAAUACCGCAUAGUUUUCUUGAUCGCAUGAUCGGGAAAGGAAAGACGGCCUUUGUGCUGUCGCUUAUGGAUGGACCCGCGGCGUAUUAGUUAGUUGGUGAGGUAACGGCUCACCAAGACGAUGAUACGUAGCCGACCUGAGAGGGUGAUCGGCCACAUUGGGACUGAGACACGGCCCAAACUCCUACGGGAGGCAGCAGUAGGGAAUCUUCCGCAAUGGACGAAAGUCUGACGGAGCAACGCCGCGUGAGUGAAGAAAAGGUUUUCGGAUCGUAAAACUCUGUUGUCAGAGAAGAACAAGUUGGAGAGUAACUGCUCCAGCCUUGACGGUAUCUGACCAGAAAGCCACGGCUAACUACGUGCCAGCAGCCGC
rnacentral:rRNA from 1 species